rnacentral:rRNA from 1 species
AUGGAGAAUGUGAUCUACGAGGGUGGGCAUGGCGGUGCCUAUGAUCCCGACGAGACACAAAGUCAGGAUGGCCGCGCCCAGUACGUUGCCGAUGAAGAGGCCCACGGCCAUGCUGACUACGACCAUGGUGACUCGUGGCAUGAAGACGAUGACAUCUAUUGCGAAGGUGGUGGUGAUGAAGAAGAAGUCAUUGAUAUUGAUAUUGGGGGCGAGCCAUUGUUCAUCGACGAGCUUACCCAAAGAGCAGAAGAACAAAAGAGAAAGAAGAGCAUUCGCACGGGUUCAUAUUCACAAGACGAGGACAAGUUGAUUUGCCAAUGUUGGAUGGAGAUUAGCCAAGAUCCAAGGACCGACGCGCAACAAAAGGGCCUUAUUUUUUGGACGAGAGUCCACAAAACAUUUCAUGAAAGGAAGAUGUUUGAGCCCUACCAAAUUACGAGCGACCGUGGCAUCGCCUCGAUUCAAAAGAGGUGGUUAUUCAUCCAACAAGAGUGCAACAAGUAUUGUGCCGCACUUGAGAGUGUUAAAGCACGACCCUUGAGUGGUCUCGGCAUUGGGGACAUGGUAUGCUCUCCUCAUCCUAGUUCUUUCAUUGCUACGGCCAUGAGACUUCGGCCUUGUAUAUGUUUGCAUGUUCAAUUGUCGUUGAUCAUGUGGUGUAGGCAUUUCAAUCUUUGGAAGCAUUAA